AGCAGCCGCGGUAAUUCCAGCUCCAAUAGCGUAUAUUAAAGUUGUUGCAGUUAAAAAGCUCGUAGUUGAACUUCAGGCCUGGCUGGGCGGUCCGCCUUCCGGGCGAGUACUGCCUGUGGUCGGGUCCUACCUUCUGGCGAAGCGUCAUGGCCUUAACCGGCCGUGGCGGGGAACCAGGACUUUUACUGUGAAAAAAUUAGAGUGUUCAAAGCAGGCACGCGCUUGAAUACAUUAGCAUGGAAUAAUGGAAUAGGACAGUGGUUCUAUUUGUUGGUUUCUAGGACCGUUGUAAUGAUUAAUAGGGAUAGUUGGGGGCAUUAGUAUUCAAUUGUCAGAGGUGAAAUUCUUGGAUUUAUUGAAGACUAACUACUGCGAAAGCAUUUGCCAAGGAUGUUUUCAUUAAUCAAGAACGAAAGUUAGGGGAUCGAAGACGAUCAGAUACCGUCGUAGUCUUAACCAUAAACUAUGCCGACUAGGAAUCGGGCGAUGUUGACAAAAUGACGCGCUCGGCACCUCAUAC
rnacentral:rRNA from 2 species